rnacentral:lncRNA from 1 species
AUCUGGAACAAUGAUCAAUGAGUGUCCAUGUUAGUUAAAAACGGAAAAAGGCAAAAUCUGAUGUGAAUUGAGGAUCAAAGCAUGAAAGAAACUACAGUAAGAAGGCAUUUUUAAUGUUAUUUGAUGCAACAUUAUAUUAUAUUAUCGCCAUUCGGAAUAUCUGUCAGAUUCGUAAAUUAUGACCUCGUGAGCAAAAAACAAAAAAAAGACAACAACAUGCGUUAUAUCGCGUUAAAAGUACCUUUAUUUUCCCUCAUCCUCUUCUAAAUUGUCAAUCCUCCUCUGUUUUUUAUUUUAAUAUGUGCUAUUUUUGCAUUAAAGCUUAAUCCUUUUAAUUGAUUUCAAAAUAAAUCUUUCAUUUUAUAUGCAUUAAUGCAUAUAUAAUUGUUCUAUCUUUUCGGAAAUUACCAAUAAACUUUAUUUAAGGGGAAACAUGCAACAUGCAAUGAUUCUUUGUUGCAUACUAUUUUUUCUUCCCUGGAAAUAUAUCCUGGUAUUCUACAAAAUUACAAUAUUUACAAAAACGACUUCCUAAACUUAGAAUUUAUGUAGAUCUAGAAGUAUUGAAAAUUCUUAAUGCAGCUAUUUAUAGAAUAUUUUUCUUAAACAUUAGUCAUUUUAGUGCAUGCAUAAAGUGAAAUACAGUUAUAUCCUUACUUGCAUACUUAUAGUGCUAUUAGUUUGUGUUUGCACAUGAAGAAAAAAACCCAGUCAGGUUUCGGAAAAUGUAAAAGAAAAUAUUACAAAUAUUUAUUUAUAUGUAUCGUAACAUUGUCAAUUUUAAUUUCGGAAAAUGCACAAUAUGUCUAUAAAUGUAUCUUAAUUUUCAAAGUCAUAUAUCAAUGAUAAAUUAAUGAAUAAAAGAUUCCACAAACGCUUCAGUUUAACAUAUAUAUUUUAAAAAAAAAAAUAGAAUUGUUAUUCUUAUUAUUAUUUGAUAUCUUUAGAUACUUUAUAUUGAGAAUUGAAUACAACCGUCAGACUUUCUGAAAGUUAUGUGUAUUUUAGGUUAGGUCACUGGUAUUUGUACUUUCCAUAUUAAAGAAUUAUGCGUAUAUUUUGCCAUGCAUUUUAGAGCAAAUAGUUUGUUCUCUUAUGAUUAUUAAUUAAAUUAUUCAUGUUAUUGUUCGCCUUGGUUUAAUAAAAAACACUAAAUGCAUUUUUGUAAUAGUUCUACUUUUACAAAUUUAACAAAGGUUUUUAUAGUUAAAAAAAUUAGAUCAUACAAAUUUAACACAUCUUUCACUAUAUAUCCAUGAUAGAAUUAUAUUAAGUUUAGUUUUGAUCUGACUAAUUGACAUGCCCAAACAUAAUUUUAUUUUGAAACACGAAAAUGAAAUUAGUAAACAAACGCUUGCAAACAUACUUAGCAGUUCAAUAUCUUCAUGUAAUAAUUAAAUUUUAAAACAUUAAUGCAGAUCUCAUGACAAUGUUGUUACAAAUUAUCUUCAAAUUUGUGUUUUAUUAAAAUAGUCAACAAAUUAACAACUUACUCCAAAGUUUUAACAAAUAACUCAAUAGUGAUGACCUAAGACUAAAUUUCCAGUUUCGAAACAAGAAUGCAAGUAGUGUUGUCAAUGUUGUCAUUCUUUUAAUUCUACAUUAAGUUGACAUACUAUGAACAAGUGAAAAGCUUUCACUGAUAACUAAUGGCCAUCAAACACUAAACUUGGACUUGGAGAAAAAAUAUAAAAUAUAAGAAACAGAUGUAAAAAGAACAACCUGACUUGGUUCCUGACUAGGCCAUAUGUGUCCGAUUACUCAUACGACAAGAAACAAUGACAAAUUUGAGAUGAAAAAAAGCGCUGUUCCUUUGCAUUUUUGUGUGUUAUAUGCUGCCAAUGUACUGGUAUUGUGUCAUGAAUGGAUAUCCUUUAUCCUUUGCUUUUCCAUCAACUAAAUCCUACGUAAGGAUAUAAUAAAAAGAAACACUUGGCUAGGUUCUGAUUAUUCAUAAACCAACAAGCAAAAAAAUGAUUAGAUUAAAUAUAGGCAGGGAUAAAAAAAAGAACUUGAUACCCAACUAGGAAAACUAUCUUUGAUUAUUCAUAAACAAACUAUGAAAACAUAAUUAAAAACAUUAUAAACAGUGGUAUAAAAAAGAACCAACUGACUUGGUUCCUGACAAGUCAAUAUCUGUCUGCUCAUUCAUAAACUAACACGAAAAAAACUAUGUAAAUAACGUAUAGACAGGGAUACGAAAAAAGAACAAACUGACUUUGUUCCUGCCUAAGCAAAAUGUGUCUGAUUAUUCUUAAACCAACGAGCGAAACAUGAUUCAAGUGCUUUUUUUGUAUUUUUUUCUGCCAAUGUACCGAUUUUGUGGCACGGAUGACUGAUAUCCCAUAUCGCAAGUUUUUCACUCAACUUAAUAAUUUGCAAGGCUUCGAUAAAAAGAACCAAUUAACUUGAUUCCCUACUAAGCAUAAUAUAUCUAUUCAUGAAUAAAGAAACCAAAAAAAUAUUAGAUAAACGAGCAAGUCUAUAAAAAAAAAACCAACAGACUUGAAACCUGAGUAGGCACUAUCUCUCUGUUUUCAAUUAAACAAACAAACAAAAAAUAGUUAGAUAUAUAUUAAUAUAUAUAUAAAAAGAAACAACUGACUUGGUUCUUGACUAGGCGAACAUCCUUUGAUUAUUCAGUAACAAACAAGCAAACAACAAUUAAAUAAGAAAUAAAGAGGAAUAAAAAAGAAUUAACUGACUUGGUUCCUGACUAGGCAAUAUUUGUCUGGUUAUUCAUAAGCCAACAAAAAAGAAAUAAAAGUGUUGUUCUUUGACAUUUUGUUUGUUUAAUGCUGCCUAUGUUCUAACGGAUACCCUAUAUCGGGGCUAUCCUUUAUUUUUCUAUCAACUUAAUCAUAUUUAAGGAUAUAAUUAAAAAAAAAACACACUUCACUUAGUCCCUUUCUAUGCAAUUCCCUCUGAUUAAUCAUAAAUCAACUGGCUAAAAAAAAGUUGACAAAAUAUAAGCAAAGCUAUAAAAAAAAGAACCACGUUACAUAGUUUCUAAGAAAAAAAUCUUUCAUAAGUUAUAAACCAGCAAUGAAAAAAUUAAAUACAAAUAUAGGCAGAAAUAUAGGCAGGAAUAUAGUCAAGUUUAUAAAAAAUAAACAACUGACUUGGUUUCUCACUAGGCAAAAUCUCAUUAUUCAUAAACCUACAAGCAAAAUAUUUUAAUCAAAUGUAAACAAGGAUAUGGAAAAGAAGCAACUGACUUGGUUCCUGACUAUGCCAAACCUCUUUGAAUAUUGGUAGGAUAACAAGCAAAAUAUAAUUAAAUAAAAUAUAUGCACGUUUUUUUUAAAGAAUAAACUGACGUGGUACCUGACUAGAAUACUCAUCUGAUCUUGUAAAGUGAAAACUGUUAACAACCUCCUUAUAAGUACAUGUAUAUGUUCUUUUAUUCUAACCUCAGAAAAAAAACGGUACCUGGAAAAAAAUCAACAUCCGUUUCUAUUGAACUAAAAACUCAAGACCGGAAAUAGGAACUCCUACUGUAACAAAUCUCAAUAAAUUGUGUUCUAAUAGUAUACAUAUUGCAAUCAGUAAAUGAAAAAAAAUAGAUAUUUGUUUAGUGUCCAAAUGAUAACCGAUGUUUCUGCAAUUACUCUACAAUCAGUUUUGACAACAUGUCACAUAAUGUGAAAAAGGGGAUUGGGGUGAUACAAUUUUCACAUUUAUAAUUUUAUUUCUAAAGUUUAAUUGUUAAUAGUACAACAGAUAAGCACAAACUAAACUGGCAAUUUGGUUAAUUUGAUUUAAAGAAUCACUACAUUUUAAUAUCGAAACAUCAAUCGUAUAACUUUGACAUGUCUGAAUCAGAAUAUAUGGUAUAUAUUUGAAUGAUAGGUCACGUGAUAUGCAAACUUGUGAAAAAUGGACGACAAUGGUAUGUGUAUGAAACGGAUAGUACAAAACAGAACUUUGAAAUUUUGCUCAUUAUUACUAGAGGUGAUAUAUAUAUAUAAAUAUAUAUUUGUUUAUACAACUCAUUGAAACACUUUUUUUAUUUGAUUAAUAAUGCAAAAUGUUUAGUUUUAAAAAGGAUACGUCAUUUUUAAAUGGACAGUUUUGUUGUAACGAUGGUUGCAUUUUCAUUUGUAAUGCUCAUCUUCGGUUUUUUUUUUAAAUUAAACAUCUAGGUUGAAUACCUUUCAAGUGUUCAAAUAAUAAAACGAAAAUGUCAAUCAGUUGCUUUUUCAUUAGGAUUAAUACAGUGACAAUAAAAAAAAAUGAUUUGUUUGGUAUUAUUAUCAUUUAAAACAGGGAUCUGACUCUAUUAUUUUAUAGCUGACAUGUUCAUGCAUGUUUAUUCAUGUAUAUCUUCGUAUAGAUAAAGCUGUGGUUCAGUAUAAUUUGAGCAAUAUGGAGAUCUGGUACAGUAAAAUUGGUACUGUCAAUGGCAUUGCAAACAAAGCAAAAUUUAAAGUAAUUGCAGCCCCAUUGUAACAAAAAGGAUAAAAUGAAAUCGAUAUUUAGGCAGAAUUAUUGAACUUUGUUGUUUUCAUUGUCCGUCUUAUUCUAAAUAGUGCAAUGUACUAUGUUCCUCGUUCAUCUUUAUAUUUUUUUGUGUGAGAAAUUAAAGAUCAUAAGUUGUUUCUGUUUAUACGGAUGAUGUCUAUGUUUUAAUUAUUUUUAUAUGAACUUAUAUGCCAUUAAUUAGCGACUCCAUAGCAUAAAGAUGACAAUUCGACGAGUAUAUUCAAAUGAAAUUAAAAAAAUUAUUAUCAAAUGAAAAGAAAAAAAAAUUAAAAGUGGGAAUGGGUUAUGUGUCAAUGAGACAUCAUAUCAAACAAAAAGCAGAAAAAAGCUGUUAGUUUUUAACUUGAAAUUAAUCUAUGAUUUUCUGUUCUAUCUUUUUAACAAUUUUGAUGAUGUUUUAUGCAAGAAAAAAAAAUUAAUUUGCAGGGUGUUAGGGGAAACAAACCGAAUAGUAUCUUCUGUUUGCAAACACUGUUUAAUCGGUCAAUUUGAAAAAUAGGCUUUAAAUUUGCAAAACAACAUGUCCUGUUAUAUAGAACUACUAUAAAAUAUUUUAUAAAAAAGUUUGUAAGAAAAAGAUUUCUUAGAAUUCAUAUCACCUCCAAUGAUAUGGGUUUUAUUCUCUCUAACAUUUGUUUCCUUUUAAAAAUCUAACUGCCAUGAAAAAAGACACACUGUUUAAUAAAGUAUUUUCUCGGUAUUGAAACAACCAAUAGCAAUUUAAAGCUCAUAAUUUCCCAUUUUAGAGUCUAAAAUAUGAAACACAUAUAUUUUUUUUUCGUUCCGGUAAACCGUAUAUACUUCUUCAAAUGUAUCCCUACCUUGGCAUGGUUGAGUGAUGUUUUAAUUUUUCUUUGCCUGAAUACAAUUUUCUCUGCUGUUUUGAUUAGGUAAAAUUUUGCGAAAGAAACAUUCGUUGUGUUUUAGAAUUAAUAAUUCUAAGGACGAUAAACUGUAUUAUCUUAUGAGCAUGUUAAAAAAAAAUACGACCUUUACCAAACUAUAAAGCUAUCUGUUCUGGAAUGCAUAUACUGAUUCUAUUCUAUUCAAAAUUGCUGUAAUAAAGUUUCAAGUCCAUUUUAAAUUGAGAGACGUAUCGCACCCAUGCACAGCUCAGAUUUCCUGUUCGGGUUAGCCUUUUUGUGGUCCUUUAAGGUUAAUGAUUCUUCAACGUUGGUAUUAAUGUUUCGACUUUGGCAGGUCUUUGCCACAAUCAACACCAAAGAGUCAUGCAUUGUCGAAUUCACUACUGGUUCAAUAUAUAAUGGUAUCAAUAAUGUUAUUAUGGUGGUAUGGAAGUCUAAAUUAAAAUGAUUUUUUUUCAUAUUUUUUAUGUUCAUACUUUUCCAAAUUAAAACGUAGCUUUUUUGUUAAUUAUGUUAAAAAAUAUAAUAAAAUAGAUAAGUCACCGCCGUUUCUCAAGCCUCAUGGAUUAUACAGGAAAAACUAUCAUUAUGUGAUCAGAAGCUAAACUAAAUGAUAGAAUUGUAAAAUAAAUAAGAGAAGAUAGUUUUUAUAAAAUGUUUUGAUAAUAUCAAAAGAAAAGAUAGGGUCACCGUUUUUCUGGCUAAAAUACAAAUGCAAAAUUUCAUAUACACUCCUUCAAAAAUGCACUACUCCAGAGAUACCUCCACUUAAAAGGCCAUUUUUAAAAAAAACAUUGAAAAUCAAUAUAUAAUCUACACUUGUAUAAAUAUUAUUAUUUAUAAGUGAUCAUUUUCUAAAUUUGUUCUUUUAAAUGCAAAUUCAUAUUAGUUAUCUGCCUUCCUGUAUCUAAUUUUGCUAACUUAAUUGAAAAUCUGGACCUUAGAUUCUCUGUUUUUUUACAAUCCAAGAUGGUGAAAGACACCCAUACCAUCUUAAUGUUAUAACUUUUGUAACAUUUUUUUUUUUAUUAAAUGUACUAAAUAAUGUAUCAGGUCAGGUUUACGUAUGUAGUUGGCGUUUGUGUUUUGUUUCACUUCAGUGAUUCUGUGUUUUCUUUGUUUCCCUCGGUUGUAUUCUGUUAUCCGUUUUAUUAUAUUUUUUUUUUAUCUCAAUCGAUGUAUGAAUUUUAAACACCGGUAUACUACUGUUGCCUUUAUUUAUGAUUUUUUUUUUGUCAUAUGUCCGGACUUCUAGGAUUUUUCCCUUUGGUAUAGGGUAAAAUAUUUCAUUCCAUAUCACUCCUUUUUCUUUUUAUGGAAGACUUUAAUAGCUAAUAAAUAUGUCAUUUUAAAAAACUUUUAAAGUAGAUUCUAGAUUUUUUUUAACGAAGUGAGACUCAAACAAUGCCUUUGUUGAAUAUAAGGUAAAAUUAGGAGUCAGUCUUUUCACGUCAUUUAAAGAUAUUAAAUAUCGUACAAAGAAUCAAUAUCAAUAUUUUUAGCCUAUUUUGUUCCUUUAAUUUUCUAUAAUUUCACCCACAUGUAAUUUCAUCCUUAAACGAUUAAAAUGUUCCUUUGUGUCUAUAAUGUGAUCAGUUGUGAAUCAAAUUUAGUCCAGUAACAAAUAUCUAAAGGUUGUCGUUAGUGUCUUUCAUAAAAAUUACCAGUAUUUCUCCUACCAUACACAUUUAUAAAUAGUAAUAUAUAUGUUUCAGAGGUUCACUUUGACUGGCUAAAGAAUGACUUGAAUUUAAAGCGAUGUAGAAUAUCGUCCUAUGCAGAAUGGUAUGUUAUUAAAGCCAUGCACCGUACACAUAUAUAUAUAUAUAUAACGAACAACGGAAAACGAAAUAACACGUGUGUUUAAUCAUGGAAUGCAAAUAGCCAAUUUUAUAAUAAUUUUUGUCUGACAGCUAGAUAUUUGGUGAUUUUAAAACUGAAUUUAAAAUAUGUUUUCAUUCAAACGUUUUCAAUAUCAUCAAAAUCGAAUUAAUACACUAUAAAAAGAAAAAUGAUAUGUUUCUUUGCUUUUCAUGCAUAGAUAUAAUAUAAAAUUUACGGUUUUGAUUUAUCUUUCUUUCCAAAACACAAUAAAGCAAAAUGCAAAGACGUGAGUUUUAAAGUGAUAAAAAAAAAUUCAAAAGGAGGCUGCACAAAGGGUUGCAUUUACAUUAGUAAUAACUAUAUAUUACUAUAUUAAAAUAACAUUCUUAAAUUGCAUCCCAUAGGAUAACAAUAACGAAAAUGAAUUGUUGGUUGAAUAUUAGAAAUAAGAAGAAUCUUCCUAUUAUCAAGUCCUUGAAUUGUUCGAUAUUGUUACUUUUAAACAAAAGAAAAUUGGUAUCCUAUUGUUAAUUAAUAUACUACAUAAAUUGAAAUUGAAACAAUUAUCCACAAUUUACAUCUAUGUAAAAAUAUACAUAUAAUAAAUAGAAAACACCUACCCGGGUCAUAUAACCUCAUGAUUAUUCCAGCAAAAACAUAGAUUCGUUUGUUAUAAAAAAAAAGAAGAAACUUUUUUUCUUAAUUCAUCAAAAUGCAUCCUGCAUAUGACUAAAAUAAAAGAUUACAAUUGUAUUUUUAACCUUAUUCGCGGAAAGUCCGGUAUUGUUUACGCAGAAUUGUUUUCUUAAGGAUCGACACGCUUUUCUGAAAAUUCUAACGGUUUGUCACGUGGUGCAAUAUUCAAAGAUAGCACUAAUUCACAAUAACCAGGAUGUAAAAUAAUCUCACAGAAUGAAACAUGUGAAAGCGGAUAUCUAUUUUUUGGAAAUCAUGUUAAACGCUCAGUAUAAUAAUGGAAGUAAUACACGCAUAGAGACGUUUUCCUUUUAUGAAAUCAAUAACAUGCAGGUUCAAAUUACAUUUCCGAUAAAUAUCAUUAAUCUACGUAUAUAUAAUUACCUUAGAACAGAAAACUUAGUAGUCGGAUAGAAAGGAUACAAAAAGUACAUUUUAUACAAGGAAAAUGUAGAGCAAUAAAAAAAACAGCGUUAAUAUUGUUGUUCUAUAUUUUAAGAAUAGUCAUAUACAAUAGAUAAAUGUUAAAAUUAAUUCCUUGGUACACUUGAGUUUUUUUUUAAAUCAUGCAUAAUCAAACGGACACUUUGAUCAUAAAAUGUACGUCGUCAAUUAAAUAAACCAAAACAUAAAACCUUCUUACAAUUAAAAAUCUCAAAGAAAGUUAUAUAAUACAAAUUAGAAUUUGCAGUUGUAAGUAAUAUUUUACUCACACAAAGAUAAUCACAGCUUCGUUUUGCGAGUUGCGUCAAAACAGUAGAACUUUGCGAUCUCGGCUGUAAAACAAUUUUGACCAUUAGUUUGAUGUAGUGGAAAGAUCUCUCGAAGGAAAUCAGCUAUGGUACAUAUUAUGAAGGCUGGAUACAUAAAAAAUGAAUAAUUUUCUACAUUAUAUACAAUUGUUAUUAAUUAUUACAGAAAAUUGCGCCUGCAGUACAAAAUCGAUUAUGCCUAAAUUAGUUCACAUAAUAAUAAUGAUGAGCUUAUUGGUUUUUAAAAUAUUUACAAUUGUUAUAUAAUUUUGUUUAUAAAAUAACAUUUACUAUCUAUUAGUAGGUUUGUGUCUAGGAAUGAAGCAGGUGAUUUUAUUUCAGUAGUGUCCUUAUGCCCGACCUUAUUAAAAUAUAUGAUGUAUAGAUAAUGGGUAAAGCAAUUUUUAUUUUAUUAUGAAUAUAAGGGAAGACUAACAAAUAUCUAAAUAUAACAAACGACGAACAACAAUCUUAAAUAUACUACAUAAAAAGCUUACAAUAGGCGGCACGAACCCUACGAAAAACCAGGGGUGAUAUAUUGUACUACGAAAUGGUUAUAUUCGGUUAUGUCACGAAAAAAAACCGUUUAGAUUUUGCAUAAGUCGCGUAAAAAUUGCAUUCACAAUAACUGUUCGUUUCAAUAUAUUUCUUUUUUCGCUUUCCUCGAAAAAAAUGAAAUACUAUUAUAUAUAUUUAAGAAAUCAAGUAUACAUCGUUUAACGGCAAAAAAUGUCUCUGCUCUCAAAUGAAGCCAAAAUAUUUGAACAUCUAAAACUAUAUGGAGAAAAGUCAAAAGUGAAGCCAAAGUCAGAAAAGGAAGCGUAGCUUUACACGCAUGAUAAACAUUCCAGAAUUUCAAACGAUUUCCAAAAUUUUAUAAAACAGAACCGAAAGAUUCCAAAUGGACAGUUAAUUUCAAUUAAUCAAUAUCUGUAUUUGUAAGCCGAUACAGAUAUACUAGCUUCUGGAAUGGAGAUACCAUCGAUGACUAUGAAGAUUGAAUGGAACACACUUAGAUAUUAAAAAGAAAUAGAUCAGUAUACAUCGUAAUACGUUUUACAUCUCUAAAGGGUAUUAAGGAAAACAACUAAGUGAAUCUAUUGAUUUACUAAAGAUAGUUUUUACUUACAAAUAUUGUAAUCGAGAAGAAAAAUUAAGGGAUGUCUCUCCAAUUCAACUUCUGUUACCUUAAUCUAAGUUUAUAUUUUUUUCAGAUUUUGAAGAGUUACAAAAGCUUAAAAAGAAAAAGAAAAAAGAAGAAAUGAAUCACUACAAUUGAGGUAAGAAACACAUCAAAAACAUUAUCUAACACCAAAAAAAAAUUAAUACCAAAACUGAAGCAAACUAUCUAAUCGAUUAACGAGAUUUGAACCCUUAGUAAAAUUCUCUCGCGUUAAUUCAAAACCAAAUGAAUAAAUGCUCAGACUGUUUAAUGCUUUAGGAGCUAUAUGUGGAACACUGAAAGCAUAGCAACAACGAUCUUAGGUCUGUUUUGCUUGUAUGAGCUAAAACCUUAGUUCACAAACAUGUUAAAGUCAUAUGAAGCUUCAAAUUAAAAACAAAUAUGCAUAUGUUAUUUAUAACUAAAUGGCUAGUUUUAAAACUUAUGUACAUAUACUUUUUCUAAAGAAAAUUCUAUAAUUUGUCCAAAUUUAGAAAAGGUUUACUUUUUUAUUUCUUGCUUCAAGCAAACAAUUCGCCGACAUGUUUUCCGUAUGCAGCAUGACUUUCCUCGUAAAAAUACGGUGAGCCCAAUACGCAAGUGCGAAUGGAUAACCAAAGUAAACAUCGUUCCGUGAUCAAGAUAAACUAUAUCUUAUUUUACCUGUUAUACACGUAUUAACUGGAAUAUCCAUGCUUCUUUGUUGAAUAUUUACAAACGGGUGACAAUCUUUAAACUUGGGGUUCAAAACACGACUAGCAAAAAGCUGUCAUAUUUUCACAACAACACUGACCGAUUGAAAUAUUCGACGAUUAUACGAAAUUUAUGAGAAAAUAAUGUAAAAAAGAUCGUCCAUAGAAGACAAGUUUAUGAUAUAUGUAUGCAUUGGUUCAAAAAUUGGAUACACAUUAUUGUUCACCGGUCACUCAUUUCAUAUGACUUUAAUCGUAAGUCAUUUAAAAGUUUAUGAAAGGUGUUUUUUUUCUUGAUUUGAAGUUAAAUUCUUAUUAUUGUGUCAGCUUAUGUGUCAGCUUACGUCCACAGCUGGUAGACGUUUCGUCCCCGAGGGUAUCACCAGCCCAGUAGUCAGCACUUCGGUGUUGACAUGAAUAUCAACUAUAUUGUCAUUUUUAUAAAUUUCCUGUUACAAAACUUUGAAUAUUUCGAAAACCUAAGGAUUGUCUUAUCUCAGGAAUAGAUUACCUUAGCCGUAUUUGGCACAACCUUUUGGAAUUUUGGGUCCUUAAUGCUCUUAACUUUGUAUUUGUUUGGGUUUUAACUAUUUUGGUCUGAGGGUCACUGAUGAGUCUUAUGUAGACGAAACGCGCGUCUGGCGUAUUAAAUUAUAAUCCUGGAACCUUUGAUAACUAAUUAUGUAAAGUAAUCAGAGAAUUAUUUCAAACUGUUAAGUACGAUUGAAUGUCAAAGACAUCGGAAAGCAUAAUCUCAUGUGACUUGACAUUUGAGUUAUCUUCCUUUGUCUUUAAACUUUUCCAAAUAACGCGCUAUAUAUAUUAAUUUUAAUCAAUGGUCCUACAUAAUAUCUCCGUAAUCUUAAAUAAUAGCGCAUAAAUUGACAAUGAUUUGAGUUAACAUAUCAAAAUAUUCCAAGGGAAAUGAAUUUAUUUCUAAGAAAGAACAAGAAACUCAAAAAAUACUUGUCAUAACUGGAUUUAUUUUCCUUAAUCUGGGUUGCCAAUUAAACCUGGCUUUCCUGUUACAUAAAUAACAACUUGAUGCGGAUUAUUGAGGUUUUAAUUCUAAGAAAUACUGGUUCUUUAAAGAUAGCAAGCUAUUAGGCUAACAAACGUUAAAGAUGUUUCUAACGGUAUUAAGUAAUCAAAAUAGUUCAAUUUGAAUCUGUAUGUUCAACACUGUCUAAUUCCAAGAAGUGUAGACGAUGCACUGUUUAUUUCAUUAUUCUAAAUGGGUCAUAAAAAGUUGCGCGUUAUCUCUUAGAAAAAUAAUUUCCAAGAAUUCAUCUCCGUGUAAUACACUGUCGACACAUCCAAUGUUUCUCGGUUAAAAUGUCAUGUUAUUUCCUCAUGAGAUCUUGAUAUAUAUAUGUUAAGUUGAUUAACCAGAUGUCAAGAUCAGUAUGCUGCGGAUGUCUCAAAUUUAUAACUUUUUAUUACUAAACACGUUUGGUACAAAUGUACUUAUACAUAUGACUCAAUUAAAAACAGACCAUUUUGAGCAAAUGUAAUAAACAAUAUUGCAUUGUACUGUUGUAGGACUCCAAACACACUACCAUAAACAUUGUAAAGAAUUCAUCGAUAAUACAUCAUUAUUAAUUGCCCUUCAAAUGUGUUCUUUAUUUGAAUAGAGAUUCAAUAAUAAGUCUUGGCAGACGAAACGCGCAUAUCUGGUGUACAAACGUAUUUAAGCCUUGUAUCUUUUAUUUCAUGAUUUUACUUAAUUUUGGAGAAUUGAUUUUAUAAGAUGCUUGAUUGAUUUAAUUUCCAGAUUAUUUUUCCUUUUCUCCACAUUCUCUCUCAAUUUCCCUCAGUUUUUUUUUAUUGAAAACUUCGAUUUGUCUAUUUUCGCCUUUAUUUCUUACUACCUGGCGGAAUAAUCUGAAAAUUAUUACAAAGAUAAUAUUUAAUUACACGAAACAAAAAUCUUUGAUACAUGUCAAAAUAACAAUCAGUGACAAUAGCUUACAACAGUUGAAUAAGGAACUUUCUAAUUGAGUUGGCCUUCCAUUUGAUUACAUGUUUCUGAUGAAGGUAACACAUGACUUAAAGCAACAAUAGUAUACUGCUGUUAAAGAAUAAUAAAUUGAAGGAGAGAAAACAAAUCCGGGUUACCAUCUAAAACCAAGGUUAGCACAUCAAUUAUAAGAUUAAAACAGCGAAACAACAGAAACACUGAAGUGCAAAAAAAAUCCAACCAAUGCAACAUUCACAGAAACGAAUUAUUAGAUAACUACUGAUUUUUUUCAUAAAUUUUAUAUUGUGUGGUGUUAAUAUUUUUUUAGUGUGAGUGCCUUGAUGUGCAAAAUGAAGACCGAACGGUCGAUCGGCUAACUGUAUUAUAAGCAUAGUACAUAUAUAUGGUAAGGUUUUUUUCGAACAGGAC